CUCACGUCGGAAAAUAAAGUGGUGUGUAACCGGAACACAACACUGAACAAAAAAAAUCCCAAUUUAAAGCUGAUUAAUCCUUACAUUUUGGCAGCUGUUUCAGAAGUUUCGUAUUUUAAUAAAGUUGAAAUUCAUACAAUUUCUACACGC
ensembl:ncRNA F39C12.7 ncRNA